AGGACGAACGCUGGCGGCGUGCUUAACACAUGCAAGUCGAGCGGAAAGGCCCUUCGGGGUACUCGAGCGGCGAACGGGUGAGUAACACGUGAGUAAUCUGCCCUUAGCUCUGGGAUAGCUCCGGGAAACCGGGAUUAAUACCAGAUACGACCACUUUAGACAUCUGCCGUGGUGGAAAGAAUUUCGGCUAAGGAUGAGCUCGCGGCCUAUCAGCUUGUUGGUGGGGUAACGGCCUACCAAGGCGACGACGGGUAGCCGGCCUGAGAGGGCGACCGGCCACACUGGGACUGAGACACGGCCCAGACUCCUACGGGAGGCAGCAGUGGGGAAUAUUGCGCAAUGGGCGAAAGCCUGACGCAGCGACGCCGCGUGGGGGAUGAAGGCCUUCGGGUUGUAAACCCCUUUCAGCAGGGACGAAGCGAAAGUGACGGUACCUGCAGAAGAAGCGCCGGCUAACUACGCGCCAGCAGCCGC
rnacentral:rRNA from 1 species